rnacentral:lncRNA from 1 species
UGUAUUGCAUUUUAAAGCACCGCUGUUGACUCUCUACCAGGUGGCACUAUUUGCCCGCGUGUGCCAUAGGUUAGAGCCUCUGGCCGGGCUGGCUGCCCAUUGUGCCAGCGGCCCCACGCCCAGGUACUGCUCGGCUCACCUGGCGAGGACAGAGCCUCGGGGACCGGGCUGUGGACUGACUGAGAAGUACCGACGCUGUAAAAUCUUCCCAGUUCCGUGGUUCCAUUGGCCAGAGGUGUGGAGGGACGCAUUCUGCAUCUAGGGAGGACAGUAGUGAGAAAAGGGCUUUGCGGCAUCCCAGUUGGGACAGCCUCCGGAAGGGUCCUAACGCCCUGCUCUGGCCACUGGCCUGCCCAGCCUGACAAGGUUACCGCAGGGUGAGCUCACUGUUGUCAAUACGAAGGCAUGAAAAUGGGUCUCACUGUGUUGCCCACAUUGGAGUGCAGUUGUGCGAACACAGAUCACUGCAGCCUCAAACUCCUGGGUUCAAGUGAUCCUCCAGCCUCGGGCCCUGAAGCAGUUGGGACUACAAGUGCACAGUACCACACCCAGCUAAUUUUUGGGUAUUUUUUUUGUAGAGACAGGGUUUCACCAUUUUGCUCAGCCUUGUCUCAAACUCCUGAGCUCAAGGGAUCUACCCACCCCACCCUCCCAAAGUGCUGGGAUUACAGGCAGGAGCCACUGCGUUUAGCCCUACUUCUAAGUCUCUAAAUUUCCCAGGGAAAUCUGUAUUGUCUGGAGACAGAUGCUUUAAUUCAUUAUUUCUCUUAUGUCAACUAAUAUGCAUAAACAGGAGCACCAGCGCAGACUGCCACUGGAAAAUGCAUGGCUUGGGUUACUGUAACAUUUGUGAUUUUCAUUUAGAAUUUUGUAAACAUAAUGACUUUUGAAAACCAUUUCCAAAGCCUCAUAUAUAUGCAAUAUUUUACUUUAGAAGAAACAGUGCAUCGUGUCUGUACAUAUUAGAUAAUUCUCUAUUACUUUCAGAAUCAGAUUAUGUGAACUAGCAAGCCGAUUAUUGGGUUUAAAUUAAAGUAUAAUCAACAUUAUUAAACUACCUUGAUACUUUUAAGGAAAUCAAGCCUCUGAAAUUACAUACCUACUUUAGUAAUAAUUUAUAAACCCAAAUAGGUUAAUUCUUGUCAUGAUAUGCUCAAUAUUUUCCAAGUGUUGUCACCCAUAUAAUUUGGUUCUAAUUAUACCACUCUUAUAUAAAACUGUUGCCAACAGUCAUAUGGUUUUACAUUUUUUCUCAUUAAUACAAAAUAGUUCCAUUCUUGGAGGUAAUUUGACAAGAUUAAAUUCACACAUGCCUUAAUGUAACGAAGACCCUUAAAAAUAAAAAUUGAUUGAGGAUCAUACUAAAUUAUAUCAAACAAUGUACUUUACCUAGUACUUACCUUUAAAGGAAUAUUCAACAAACUUUUGAACAAAAUAGGCAAAUAAUAUUUCUGUACCUAAAUAGCUACACAUUUUAGCACUGAUUAAUAUAGUCUCAGAACUAAUUAUGCACUCAUGCUAUGUUUAUAAAUUUUGAUGUCUUAAUAGGGGGAAAAUGAACCCAUUCUAAAGGAUUUAAAUUUUUUUUAAGUUGAGAUAUUUUUCUGAUUAUGUAAGUAAUUCUUUAUUAGGUUAACAUUGAUUUAUUUAAUAAAUAAACCCUUAAACAUGAAUGGCAUAACAUAGAAAAAAAAUUGGUUUUGCUUACUUAAUAGUCCAAUACAGGCUUGCUUGAUGGCAGGCAGAUUACUUCUAGUGGUAAUUCAAGGAUCCAGGCUAUUUUCUUCUUCUGGCUCCUCUGUCUCCAGGGCCUUAGCAUUCUUUGCAUCCAAAUAAAAGAAGAAUGGGGGACUGGACAAGGAAUAUCUACUUCUUGAUGGCUUGAAACAUAUCACUUCUACUCUGAUUCUCUGGAGGUAAACCACCCAGUCAUAUAACCUCAUCUAAAUGCAAAUAGAGGUUGACAAAUGAGAUUCCUGCCUGGGUAGUAACUUCCCAUAAAUUUUGAUGGCAAGUUUGUUUUCUCUGCCACAGACUAUCCUCUGACCACCAUAUGUCGGUGCUUCUUUCUUCCCUCACACAGAACAUUCUUCUUCCUUCUAAGCUAAGUUCCUAUCCCAUCUGUAUUAUGUUAGUCCAUACUCACAUUGCUAUAAAGAACCACCUGAGACUAAAAAAAAAAAAGGUUUAAUUGACUCACAGUUCCACAGGGUCUAUUGGAAGCAUGGUUGGAAGGACUCAGGAAACUUAUAAUCAUGGUGGAAAGUGAAGGAGAAGCAAGCAUAUCUUAACGAGGAUCCCCAUCUUCUUACCAAAGAUUCCCCAUCUUCUUACCAAAGAUGUGCUUACACCUUUUUAAAAAACCAGAUCUCAUGAGAACUCACUCACAAGACAGUAAGGGGAAAAUCUGCCCCCAUGAUCCAAUCACCUCCCACCAAUCGCUCCCCCAACAUUGGGAAUUAUAAUCCAAGAUGAUUUCUAAUUUGAUUUGGGUAGGGACACAGAGCCAAACAAUAUCACCAUCACUCUAUCCAGCUGCCUGUCCAGGAUCCCUACACACAAUGCACAGUUCUCGCUACUUUAUCCAAAUAGGGCCCAGAACAGUCCUGUGACAUCUAAAGAAAAAGUUUCCUGCCCGUUCCCUUACUACACACUUGCAGUAUAAAAGUUGGACAGUGAAAAGAUUGCUGCCACAACUCUCAUUCGCAAAAGAACCAAUGGUAUAUAAAUACAAAAUUUACUGUUUCUCAGCAAUGACAACAUUUUUCUGUUCAGAUGUAAUGAGGAAAACUUAACUUUGAAGAAGUUCUGCAAAACCUUGACUUAUCUCCUUAUUACUUUUGAUGGCCUCCGGUUUCAAUUUAUUGGAGGUGUGUCUCUGUCUAUUAUCCUCUGUAACUGUAUCUAAAGUGAACAGUGAAGAAUAUUCCCACUCUAGUGGGUAAAACAGUAGUCCCCUCACAACAGUUUACAUCUGAAUCCUUAGUGUGCCAACCUACCCAGUGUUAGCCAGACACACUCAAUUUUGCUUAGAGCCAGACAGCCUUCAUCUUAACCUCCACCUCACCCCUCCUACUAUUUCUCCCUUAAGAGCACACCUGGGUCUUGCUACUGUGCUGGGUCAUGCUGUACUUAGAACUAUAAAAACAUAUAAUACUUGAAAUCAUAUCCUGCUUGGCAAGCCCACUUGCUAUUGUGAAUGCUCCCCCUUAAUUAUAUAACAAGUACCAAAUACCCCCCUUGGUAACCAACAAUCAUGGGAACCUCUUGUGUAUACCCUCCUUGGAAAUCAACAAUCAUAAAAACCUCCUGCCUCCUAGUUACCAGCCUCCUUAUGUACCUUGCUUGUUCUGCUUCUUUAAAUUCUGCUUCAGCUAGGCUCCCCCUCCCCUACCUUAAGCAAGGUAUAAAAAGGAGUCCAGCCCCUUCCUUAGGGCUGAGAAAAUUUUAAGCAUUAGCCACCUCUCAGUGGCUGGCUAAUUAAUGAAAAACUCUCACUUCAAACUCAAAGCAUUGCGCUGUUUCAUCUAACUCACCUGGGUAUAACAUUAGCACCAGUGAAUGUGUCAUAUCGUAUAACAAGGGAAAAUUAGGAUCGUAGAUGGAUGUAGGAUUAUAGAUGGAUGUAGGAUUGCUACCUGACCUUGAGAUGGGGAUAUAAUUCUGGAUUGUCU